rnacentral:lncRNA from 1 species
CCUUUCCCUAUACAACUGACUAGGUAUCCCCCUUUCCCUAUACAACUGACUAGGUAUCCCCCUUUCCCUAUACAACUGACUAGGUAUCCCCCUUUCCCUUUACAACUGACUAGGUAUCCCCCUUUCCCUAUACAACUGACUAGGUAUCCCCUUUCCCUAUACAACUGACUAGGUAUCCCCCUUUCCCUAUACAACUGACUAGGUAUCCCCCUUUCCCUAUACAACUGACUAGGUAUCCCCCUUUCCCUAUACAACUGACUAGGUAUCCCGUUUCCCUUUCCUUGUUUGUGAAAAGGGGUGUGUCUUCUGGGGGUGUGUGUGCUGCUAGUUUAGUUCAGGUCUAUAUACUCUUAUUUUGUUACUUUAGUGAAGUUUGACUGUGGUAACAUUUUACUGCAUACCGUCAUACAAACAAGCCCUUACAUUCUUUACUCAACAGGUGUAUUUUAUUCCCAAUUUACUAUAAAAACAACUUUAAUCUCAUUAAGAAUCAGAUGUUAUUUUAUAUUUUACAUUUUCUGGAUAGUUUGUGUUACAGUGCCAUUUAGAA